rnacentral:rRNA from 1 species
UAGGGAAUCUUCCACAAUGGACGCAAGUCUGAUGGAGCAACGCCGCGUGAGUGAAGAAGGUCUUCGGAUCGUAAAGCUCUGUUGUUGGUGAAGAAGGAUAGAGGCAGUAACUGGUCUUUAUUUGACGGUAAUCAACCAGAAAGUCACGGCUAACUACGUGCCAGCAGCCGCGGUAAUACGUAGGUGGCAAGCGUUGUCCGGAUUUAUUGGGCGUAAAGCGAGCGCAGGUGGAAUGAUAAGUCUGAUGUGAAAGCCCACGGCUCAACCGUGGAACUGCAUCGGAAACUGUCAUUCUUGAGUGCAGAAGAGGAGAGUGGAACUCCAUGUGUAGCGGUGGAAUGCGUAGAUAUAUGGAAGAACACCAGUGGCGAAGGCGGCUCUCUGGUCUGCAACUGACGCUGAGGCUCGAAAGCAUGGGUAGCGAACAGGAUUAGAUACCCUGGUAGUCCAUGCCGUAAACGAUGAGCGCUAGGUGUUGGGGACUUUCCGGUCCUCAGUGCCGCAGCAAACGCAUUAAGCGCUCCGCCUGGGGAGUACGACCGCAAGGUUGAAAC